rnacentral:tRNA from 1 species
GCCGUGUGGCGCAAUGGGUAGGGAACUGGUCUUGUAACCAAAAGGUCGCAGGUUCAAAUCCCGGGUAGGGCG